AUGUGAACGUGGACGUGGUUCGUGUCCGUGCUAAUCGUGGCACAGCCGCAUAUCCUUCACCUACAAUUUGUGGAUGUAGUAUAGACAUGAAUUGGAAUGCCUGUUCAUCGACAAUGUCGCAAAAUAAACGUGAUCUAUCAUAUAGUAUAUUUUAUUUAUUCAUAAUUUGUGCACGUAGUACGAUUAGCACGGACAUGAACUACAUCCACGUUCUCAUGCUAUGAUUUGAUCGACAAUGUUAUAAGAUAGACGUUGUACGUAUAGUUCCUUUUUUGAAAACGUGGACGUGUAGCGCUAGUGUACGGGAGAGAUCGCCGGUCCCACUCCCAAAAGGCCGGCGUGACCGCUCUCACGCUUCUCUCUGCCCGUACUGCGUACCUACCUCUCUGGUAACUGGUUACGCAUUUCAUGUGCUCCCGGCCUUCGUAUCUAUAUUAUCACAUCGCGCGGCAUUGUCCGACGUUAAUCGAGACGUUAACCAAUGUCGCGACGUGGAAUCAAUUUUCAAUGUUUUUCAAAUGCUCUUACAAUGUGGAAAAGUGAAAUUACAAAGCUCAUAUUAUUACGAAGAUGAAAGAGUAAAGAAGUCAGGGUACAAUUGAAUCUUUGAUUUCGCUGCGUUCUGUGUUUGACAGUUGACUUUUUUGGUGUUGACGGUUGCAAAGACACGAAAAAACCAGAGACGACGAAAAAAAGCUGACUCGCCAUGGGAUAAAACAAGAUAGAGUAAAAGGGUUGGAGUCAAUUAACGUUAAUUUCUGCUAAUGUCGAUGGCUUCUCUUGAUGUUCGUCAAACGCUGCACGUCCCCCUUUUAAUUUGAAAAUAACUCAUUUCUGCGAGAACAUAUGUAUUGAUGUUUAAACAUGUUCGAGAGAUAACAGAAACAUAAAAAAAAGAUGAAACCUACCAUUAUGCAGAGUAAAAUAAUGAUGAUAAUAAUGAUG